ACCGGAAGGGAGAGGCUCUGGGAGCUCCGCAGGGCCUCUUCUCCUGAGGUCGCCAUGGGGCGACAGAGACCUCUGGGCUCACCUGCAAGCUGGUGGUAGGAGUCUUCAGGCUAACCACCUGAGGUUGCCUGGGGUCCCAGCCUCCUGCCACUUCCCCUAGCAAGUACUGGGGCCCAACAGGCUAGACUGACAACUCCUGGGGACCAAGGCAAGCACCGUCGGGGAGGAACUGAGGGCCCAGGGAGGAGCAACCUCCAGCCUGUGAAGUAAAACUUGCAUGGGGAGUCACCCAGGUACCGAUGCAUCCUCCCUGACUCUGAUGAGUACGGCGGAUACCUGUACCAACUAAAAAUGGCCGUGUCCUCCAUCCUGGGCCUCUGGCUACACCAUUCCCGUGAGGAUUUUCACCAGGCCCCAGAAUUUCCCUGCCUGAAGACGCUAUUGGCUUACUUAGAGCUCAGCAUGCCUGGCUCAGACCUAGAGCACCGUGCCCACCUCCUUCUGGCACAGCUGGAGCACCCGGAGCCCACUGAGGUAGAGAGUGAUGCUACAGCACAGGCUCCAAAACAAGCUCUGGAAACACCUUGAGACCCAGAGCCACCUACACCUCUGCUGCCCGCUACAGCUCCAGAGCCACAGCAAGCUCAAGCCACAGCUCUCAUUUGAGUUCAAAGGCGAAUAUGCCAGCUCCAGUUCCACAACCAGGGUGUGCUUAUGCCCUAGCUCUCAUUCAAUCUCAAAAGGGAGAAAAAGCAUCUACACAGGCUCCAAUUCCUGCUCCAGAGAAGGUUCCAGCAACAGCUCUCCUCCCAUCUUCAGAGCCUGAAUUGUCACAGAAACCUGUCCUAGUGCUUCCUCUACAACUUCAGCCAGUUUCCUCAACAGCCUCAGUCCAGAGCUGAAGCCACCUCAGUGAGGGCACUGCCCCUGGCUCUGGAGCCCAUCGUGCUUUGGCACCAGCUGUGGCCCCGGAGUGUAUCCAGCUCCAGUUCUGGAUUAGAGACCACAGCAGACCCAGUUCUUCUCAUUACUCAGGUGCUGGAGCCAGUUCCUCCCUUAAGAUCCCUGGAGCUGCUGCCAGCUCAGCCACUAGCACAAGCACAUGCAGAGCCUUCAGGGCCCAAUUAGGAGCUGCCCCAGUGCCUACAGCAGCACUGGAGCCUUCCUUCCCCUCCCCUCUAAUUCCAUUUUCUUCAACAUUUGGGGAUUUUAUUCCAGAUACUAAAUUGUUUAUUCUAUGAUAUAAAGUUCACUUAAAAUUUAAUUCUUUGAUUAUUUUAAAUUGUACAUGUAAGUGGCACUAAGUACAUUCACAAUGUUACAUAACCCCCUCUAACGUCUAUUCCAGAACAUUUCAUCAAAGGGAAAUGCUGUAUGUAUUAGUCACUCCUCAUUCCCCUCACCUUCAGUGCUGGGGCGCCCCAAUAUUCCUUAUAUCUCUGGAUUUAUCAAUCCCUGAUUUUUCGUAUCAAUAACAUGUAACUUGUGGCCUGUUGUGUCCGGCCAAGUAUGUAUGAGUAGACUGAUUAAAGUUUGAUUCUGGG